CCGCACGAAAGGCGUAACGAUCUGGGCACUGUCUCAACGAGAGACUCGGUGAAAUUAUAUUGUCCGUGAAGAUGCGGACUACCCGCGACAGGACGGAAAGACCCCAUGGAGCUUUACUGUAGCUUGAUAUUGAGUGUUUGUACAGCUUGUACAGGAUAGGUAGGAGCCAUAGAAACCGGAACGCUAGUUUCGGUGGAGGCGUUGGUGGGAUACUACCCUCGCUGUAUGACCACUCUAACCCGCACCACUAAUCGUGGUGGGAGACAGUGUCAGGUGGGCAGUUUGACUGGGGCGGUCGCCUCCUAAAAAGUAACGGAGGCGCCCAAAGGUUCCCUCAGAAUGGUUGGAAAUCAUUCGCAGAGUGUAAAGGCACAAGGGAGCUUGACUGCGAGACAGACAGG
rnacentral:rRNA from 2 species